CGGGCUCCGGUUCACCUCGCAACGCGGGGACCCGGCGCC
rnacentral:ncRNA from 1 species